GGUCCGAAGGUAGUGAGUUAUCUCGAUUGUUCACAGUCAGUUACAGAUCAAACUCCUUGUUCUACUCUUUCCCCCUUCUCACUACUGCACUUGACU
rnacentral:Y_RNA from 1 species